AUUGAACGCUGGCGGCAGGCUUAACACAUGCGAGUCGAGCGGGGGAAGGUAGCUUGCUACCGGACCUAGCGGCGGACGGGUGAGUAAUGCUUAGGAAUCUGCCUAUUAGUGGGGGACAACAUCUCGAAAGGGAUGCUAAUACCGCAUACGUCCUACGGGAGAAAGCAGGGGAUCUUCGGACCUUGCGCUAAUAGAUGAGCCUAAGUCGGAUUAGCUAGUUGGUGGGGUAAAGGCCUACCAAGGCGACGAUCUGUAGCGGGUCUGAGAGGAUGAUCCGCCACACUGGGACUGAGACACGGCCCAGAAUCCUACGGGAGGCAGCAGUGGGGAAUAUUGGACAAUGGGGGGAACCCUGAUCCAGCCAUGCCGCGUGUGUGAAGAAGGCCUUAUGGUUGUAAAGCACUUUAAGCGAGGAGGAGGCUACUUUAGUUAAUACCUAGAGAUAGUGGACGUUACUCGCAGAAUAAGCACCGGCUAACUCUGUGCCAGCAGCCGCCGUAA
rnacentral:rRNA from 1 species